rnacentral:lncRNA from 1 species
GCUCACCAUUUGCAAAGUCUAAAAGCAAACUGAGCACCGUGAGACUGAGCCCGUGUCUUCUGAUCAUUCUGACUGUUUGUUGCUAUGAAACUAAUGCUGGCAAUGUCUGUGAUGCUGUUUUGGGCCUUCGUUCUAGGAAGUAAGGAAAACCUGAGGAAGGAACUUGAGCAAUAUUCUGUCCCUGCCGAGGCUGUUAAAGCAAAACUGGAGGUGAAGCGAUGUGUAGACCAGAUGGAUGUACGUUUCACUUAGAUGUGAGAAAGGAUGGCUGGCAGAAGAUAUUUUUGAUAUUCCAGGGGAAAGUAUUUGAACUAAUUUUCCCUGCUUAAUGUGAAGGUUUCAAUGUCUUGUACUAAUAAAUUACACUCCGUGCAUGCAACCAUUUGUCUUUUGUUAUCCUCAGUAUUGUGUCUUGCAUGGAUUAGGUUUUGAUAAUAAAUUUGCACUUUCCCUUUUUUGAUACUUAU